UGCCUGCCUCAGCCCGGUAGUGAAACUGAACCCACCUCAGACGGGAAAGGCUUGGCGGGCUCUGCUUGGUGGGAAGUCCACAGUGGUGCCUCGUCCCUGAGAUGAGAAUCAUCACCUCCGCUUUACAAAUGAGAUGACCAAGGGUCAGAGAGGAGAAAGGACCUCCCCCCAGCCCUGAGUCACCUGCCUGGAGACUGAGGGAGCCAUAAUGCGAAUCUUCCCCUUGCCAAACCCACUGACUCCAUUACGCUGCCUCCAGAGAACCCGAGCCCCGCGGCGAGAAAGUGGUAGAGCUGGGCCUCGAACCUGGGUCCUGGACUCUUGGUCCUGUGCUCCUUGUGGAAGAUGGAACUGCUUCUUCAGGCAGCUCUCUCGGGCUUCGCAGUGACCCUUCCUCGGUGCUCCGCGGCAGCAUGCUUCUGGCAUCUCAUCCCAACACAGUGAAGAGCAGCCAAGUGCGGCUGUGUGGCCCUGACCAAGUCAUUUCACUUCAAUUUUAUGCUUUGGCUUUCACAUCUUUCCACGGACGUGAAUGGAGAUGAUCAUGGUGCCGACCCCAAAGGAUCCUUACACGUCUUAAAAAAGUGAGCCACGGAAAGGCCUCAGCCCAGUGCCUAGCAGAGAAGCAGCACAUGGGAGGGAAGGAACGACCAGAGAAGACCCGUGGUGUGCCAGGCACUAGACCUGGGGCUCGGUGGCACAUGUCAGCUCCUUGCAAGUGUGAAACAACUGGAGUGCAGCGAGCAUCAGUAACUCACCCUAAGUCACACAUCUGGUAAACAGCAAAGCCUGGAUUUGAACCCAGGUUUUCCCAUGACAUCAGAUAAGACGGCAAUCACCACCUCCUUCUAACCCACCCUGCCUCACCUGCUCCAUCCUUACGACUUCAGGUGUCACCUCCCAGCUGGGUUUAAGGGGCUGAGUUGUCCACUCUGAUCUUCUCCAAGCACAAACUGCAAAGCAGACCAGAAAGCAGCUGGUCCUGACUCCAGGGCUACCCACAGAUGCCCCUGCACCUCCUCAUGCUCCUGUGCUCCUGUGUGAUGUCCUGGACUGUGUGAUGACCAGGCUGGGGAAGUCCCAAUCUGAAGAGACCAAGCGCUCUCUGACAAUGUGCUGAUCUAAUCACGUACAACUUAAGACAAAGUUAACCCGUCUCAUUGAAUGAUAUGGUAUAAUGGUGAUGACUGAGCUGCCCAGUAAUUGUGCUCAACCAGGAAGCAGCUCAUGGAGUCAGUUGUAAUUAGUAUUUGUGUUACACAGGUGAGUGGGUGGGUGAGGGCUGGGCAGAGGGAGGAGGAAGUGGGUGGGGCAGGAAGCUCUGGGGACUCCUUGGAUCCAUGAACCCCAUGCCAGCCAACUCAUGUGGUUGAUCCUGUCUAACCUUCAUGAUGACCUCAUGAUGUACUGUUAUCUCUCUUCUAAGGUGAGAAAACAGGCUCAGAGAAGUCCAUUCACUUGUCCAAGAUCAGACAGCUAGAAAAUGACAGAGCCAGGGUUCCCUCUUCAGCCCAGGCGAUGUCUUGGACAGCAGAAGGAACAGGAAUAGGGCUGGGAGGCUGGAGAUCCACAUCUCGGUCCCAGUUCUAACACUGCCUUACCCUGGGCCUCAGCAAGUAGCAUCCCUCUUCAGGAUACAAAGAGAUAGUAUGUCUGUCAGGUUGCAGACGGCUGAGGGUGUGGACUUGGGAGCUAGGCUCCUUGGAUUCUAAUCCUUGGGCAAGCUACUUCACCAUCUGAGCCUCAGUGUCCUCAUCUGUAAAAUGGAGAUGACAACAGUGUCUCCCUCAUAGGCUUGUGAAGAUAAAACGAGUAACAAGACUUAGAACAAUGCCUGAAUAUUAUUGUCAUUUAUGGGGAAAAAAUGAGCUUUGCUGUCCAUUUUUCAUCUGUAAAAUGGGGAAGUAGUUGCUGGAUCUGAACAG
rnacentral:lncRNA from 1 species